rnacentral:rRNA from 1 species
GAUGAACGCUGGCUACAGGCUUAACACAUGCAAGUCGAGGGGAAACGACGGGGAAGCUUGCUUCCCCGGGCGUCGACCGGCGCACGGGUGAGUAACGCGUAUCCAACCUGCCUCUGACUGAGGGAUAACCCGUCGAAAGUCGGCCUAAUACCUCAUGGUAUCGUCUGCGGGCAUCCAACGACGAUUAAAGAUUUCAUCGGUCAGGGAUGGGGAUGCGUCUGAUUAGCUUGUUGGCGGGGUAACGGCCCACCAAGGCUACGAUCAGUAGGGGUUCUGAGAGGAAGGUCCCCCACAUUGGAACUGAGACACGGUCCAAACUCCUACGGGAGGCAGCAGUGAGGAAUAUUGGUCAAUGGGCGAGAGCCUGAACCAGCCAAGUAGCGUGCAGGAAGACGGCCCUAUGGGUUGUAAACUGCUUUUAUGCGGGGAUAAAGCGAGGGACGUGUCCCUCAUUGCAGGUACCGCAUGAAUAAGGACCGGCUAAUUCCGUG